UACGGAGGGGGCGAGCGUUAUUCGGAAUUAUUGGGCGUAAAGGGCGCGUAGGCGGCUGCACAAGUCAAAGGUGAAAUCCCUCGGCUCAACUGAGGAACUGCCUUUGAAACUGUGCGGCUUGAGGCCGGUAGGGGAGAGCGGAAUUCCCGGUGUAGUGGUGGAAUGCGUAGAUAUCGGGAGGAACACCAGUGGCGAAGGCGGCUCUCUGGACCGGUUCUGACGCUCAGGCGCGAAAGCGUGGGGAGCGAUCCGG
rnacentral:rRNA from 1 species